AAGGGUAUAGCUCAGUGGUAGAGUGUGGCCUCAGCAUGCAUGCGGUCCUGGGUUCAAUCCCCAGUACCUCCA
rnacentral:tRNA from 1 species